rnacentral:rRNA from 1 species
AAAACGACUCUCGGCAACGGAUAUCUCGGCUCUCGCAUCGAUGAAGAACGUAGCGRAAUGCGAUACUUGGUGUGAAUUGCAGAAUCCCGUGAACCAUCGAGUCUUUGAACGCAAGUUGCGCCCGAAGCCAUCAGGCCGAGGGCACGUCUGCCUGGGCGUCACGC